UACGUAGGGUGCAAGCGUUGUCCGGAAUUAUUGGGCGUAAAGAGCUCGUAGGCGGCCUGUCGCGUCGGCUGUGAAAACCCGGGGCUCAACCCCGGGCCUGCAGUCGAUACGGGCAGGCUAGAGUCCGGCAGGGGAGACUGGAAUUCCUGGUGUAGCGGUGAAAUGCGCAGAUAUCAGGAGGAACACCGGUGGCGAAGGCGGGUCUCUGGGCCGGAACUGACGCUAAGGAGCGAAAGCGUGGGGAGCGAACGAGG
rnacentral:rRNA from 1 species